UGCAAGUCGAACGGCAGCACGGGAGCUUGCUCCUGGUGGCGAGUGGCGAACGGGUGAGUAAUGCGUCGGAACGUGCCGAGUAGUGGGGGAUAACUAUCCGAAAGGAUAGCUAAUACCGCAUACGCUCUGAGGAGGAAAGCAGGGGAUCUUAGGACCUUGCGCUAUUUGAGCGGCCGACGUCUGAUUAGCUAGUUGGUGAGGUAAAGGCUCACCAAGGCAUCGAUCAGUAGCGGGUCUGAGAGGAUGAUCCGCCACACUGGGACUGAGACACGGCCCAGACUCCUACGGGAGGCAGCAGUGGGGAAUUUUGGACAAUGGGCGCAAGCCUGAUCCAGCCAUGCCGCGUGUCUGAAGAAGGCCUUCGGGUUGUAAAGGACUUUUGUCAGGGAGGAAAUCCCUAGCGCUAAUAUCGCUGGGGGAUGACAGUACCUGAAGAAUAAGCACCGGCUAACUACGUGCCAGCAGCCGCGGUAAUACGUAGGGUGCAAGCGUUAAUCGGAAUUACUGGGCGUAAAGCGUGCGCAGGCGGUUGUGUAAGUCUGAUGUGAAAGCCCCGGGCUCAACCUGGGAACUGCAUUGGAGACUGCACAGCUAGAGUGCGUCAGAGGGGGGUAGAAUUCCGCGUGUAGCAGUGAAAUGCGUAGAGAUGCGGAGGAAUACCGAUGGCGAAGGCAGCCCCCUGGGAUGACACUGACGCUCAUGCACGAAAGCGUGGGGGAGCAAACAGGAUUAGAUACCCUGGUAGUCCACGCCCUAAACGAUGUCAACUAGCUGUUGGGGGUUUGAAUCCUUGGUAGCGUAGCUAACGCGAGAAGUUGACCGCCUGGGGAGUACGGCCGCAAGGUUAAAACUCAAAGGAAUUGACGGGGACCCGCACAAGCGGUGGAUGAUGUGGAUUAAUUCGAUGCAACGCGAAAAACCUUACCUGGUCUUGACAUGUACAGAACUUUCCAGAGAUGGAUUGGUGCCCGAAAGGGAGCUGUAACACAGGUGCUGCAUGGCUGUCGUCAGCUCGUGUCGUGAGAUGUUGGGUUAAGUCCCGCAACGAGCGCAACCCUUGCCAUUAGUUGCUACCAUUUAGUUGAGCACUCUAAUGGGACUGCCGGUGACAAACCGGAGGAAGGUGGGGAUGACGUCAAGUCCUCAUGGCCCUUAUGACCAGGGCUUCACACGUCAUACAAUGGUCGGUACAGAGGGUAGCCAAGCCGCGAGGUGGAGCCAAUCUCAUAAAACCGAUCGUAGUCCGGAUCGCACUCUGCAACUCGAGUGCGUGAAGUCGGAAUCGCUAGUAAUCGCAGAUCAGCAUGCUGCGGUGAAUACGUUCCCGGGUCUUGUACACACCGCCCGUCACACCAUGGGAGUGAGUUUCACCAGAAGUGGGUAGGCUAACCGUA
rnacentral:rRNA from 1 species